UACGUAGGGUGCAAGCGUUAAUCGGAAUUACUGGGCGUAAAGCGUGCGCAGGCGGUUUUGUAAGUCUGUCGUGAAAUCCCCGGGCUUAACCUGGGAACUGCAUUUGUGACUGCAUCGCUGGAGUGCGGCAGAGGGGGAUGGAAUUCCGCGUGUAGCAGUGAAAUGCGUAGAUAUGCGGAGGAACACCGAUGGCGAAGGCAAUCCCCUGGGCCUGCACUGACGCUCAUGCACGAAAGCGUGGGGAGCAAACAGG
rnacentral:rRNA from 1 species